rnacentral:lncRNA from 1 species
GUCGAAGAUUCAGAUUCAUUUCCGGUGUCCUGUAUCCCCAAAGCUUUUUCAGGAGGGAUCCAGGCCUGGAUGUUCAACUUCAUUCUCCACCUGACGGUAGAUCCCACCAGGGAUGUGGGCGACCCAUGAUAGGAACUGGAAUGCUUCACUGUUUAAUAUAUGCCGAGUGGAGUUGAAUACCUCGAUCUGCUCUCUCUCAAAUUUAUCCAAAUAGCAGAACACGGAAUUAAAUGGAAUCAAAGCCCUCCGAAUGGAAAGCUGAAAUGUUUCCACAUUGCUAAUCCAGUUGACUUAGCGACAGGUUUUAUUCUUUUUUUGCCUUGUGAUUUUAUGUCGCUUUACAACCAGCGGGGCAUUUCAACGUUUAACACGUGAUAUCCAC